rnacentral:tRNA from 2 species
GGCACUUUGGCGGAGUGGUUAACGCGAUGCCCUGCUAAUAAGUAAGGCAUUUCCUUCGGGAGCGUGUGUUCGAAUCACACAGGUGUCG